rnacentral:misc_RNA from 1 species
GAUGAAGAACGUAGUGAAAUGCGAUACGUAAUGUGAAUUGCAGAAUUCAGUGAAUCAUCGAAUCUUUGAACGCACAUUGCGCCUGCCAGCACUCUGGCAGGCAUGCCUGUUCGAGCGUCAUUUCAACCAUCAAGCCCUAGGCUUGCGUUGGAGCCCUGCGGCUGCCGCAGGCCCCUAAAAGCAGUGGCGGGCUCGCUAUCACACCGAGUGCAGUAGAUUACUCUUCGCUCAGGGCGUGUGGCGGGUUCCAGCCGUGAAACCCCCUACUUCUCAAGGUUGACCUCGGAUCAGGUAGUAAUACCCGCUGAACUUAAGCAUAUCAAUAAGCGGAGGA